rnacentral:rRNA from 1 species
AGAGUUUGAUCCUGGCUCAGGAUGAACGCUAGCGAUAGGCUUAACACAUGCAAGUCGAGGGGCAUCACGAGGUAGCAAUACUUUGGUGGCGACCGGCGUACGGGUGCGUAACACGUAUGCAACCUUCCUGUAAGUGUGGGAUAGCCUCCUGAAAGGGAGAUUAAUACCUCAUGAUAUGUAUUUGCUGCAUGGCAUUUACAUUAAACAUUUAUGGCUUACAGAUGGGCAUGCGUUCCAUUAGGCAGUUGGUGUGGUAACGGCUCACCAAACCUACGAUGGAUAGGGGUUCUGAGAGGAAGGUCCCCCACACUGGAACUGAGACACGGUCCAGACUCCUACGGGAGGCAGCAGUGAGGAAUAUUGGUCAAUGGAGGCAACUCUGAACCAGCCAAGUCGCGUGAAGGAUGAAGGUCUUAUGGAUUGUAAACUUCUUUUGCAGGGGAAUAAAUAGCGGUACGUGUACCGUUUUGCAUGUACCCUGCGAAUAAGGAUCGGCUAACUCCGUGCCAGCAGCCGCGGUAAUACGGAGGAUCCGAGCGUUAUCCGGAUUUAUUGGGUUUAAAGGGUGCGCAGGCGGGAGAUUAAGUCGGCGGUGAAAUUUUGCAGCUCAACUGUAAAAGUGCCUUCGAUACUGGUUUCCUUGAGUGUGGAUGAAGUAGGCGGAAUUUGUGGUGUAGCGGUGAAAUGCUUAGAUAUCACGAGGAACUCCGAUUGCGCAGGCAGCUUACUAAACCACUACUGACGCUCAGGCACGAAGGCGUGGGGAUCAAACAGGAUUAGAUACCCUGGUAGUCCACGCAGUAAACGAUGAUUACUGGGCUGUUUGCGAUACAAUGUAAGCGGCUGAGCGAAAGCGUUAAGUAAUCCACCUGGGGGAGUACGUUCGCAAGAAUGAAACUCAAAUGAAUUGACGG